GGGAGAUGAAGGAGAAAUAAGAUCAGUGGCAGCUGGUGGCAGUGAUGAGUUUUUAAGUGGAUGGGUCAUUCUUAAACUUGUGAACAGCCUGCAGAGCUGGUGGAAUUUGGGUAAGCAAGUGCCAUACAAAGGGGGUGAGUGAAAGUAAAAAACACAGAGAGGGCUGGGAUUGAGGCAGCUCUUCCCCACCCCCUACCCCCACUCUCCAUUCUGACGUUCUGAUAAACGAUCAUAAGCUAAUGAGAUGCCUUCCCUGUAGGCUAUAUAUAAAUAAGACACCCUAUACAUUGGAAAAACUAACAAAUGAAAUUGUGCAAGAAUCUGGCAGCUUUUAAUAAAUGUGGUUAUAUCAUACCCACGCACUCAUGCAAAAAUUCAUUUAUUAAUCACACUGAUAUUCUCAUUAAUAACUGAAUCCCUAAGCUGAAUCCUCUUUCAUUUGCGAGGGGCAGGCCAUGCCAGUCACUCGCAGGUCUGUUCCUAUCAGUAAAGCACUUCAUGGUCUGGCUCCUGAUUACUUGGCAAAUCUGUUAACUCUCUAUAAACCUGUCUGCUCCCUCUAUUCCUCAAGGUCCAUCAGUCUGUCUGUCCCAAGAUCUAGAACCUCUACCUAUGGCGACAGAUCCUUUGCGUGUGCAUCCCCCAUGCUUUGGAACAAACUUCCUGAUUUUAUGAGAUAUUCCGAAACCUUAUAGAUUCCUUUAAAACCAGGCUAGAGACUCACCUUUUUAAAAUCGCUUUUAAUUUAUAGUUAAAUUUUGUCUUAUUUUUGAAAUUACUUUAAAUCUUAUGUAAAAGCAUUGAGACUUAAUAUGCAUAAUGCAUUUUUAAGAACUGUAUUAUUAUUAUUAUUAUUAAAACAGAACAGACUGUUUCAUU